CUUCAAUGCACUCAUAUGGGCCUUCAGGAUUGUCGCGUACGAAGAUUGGAAUCGCUGGUGAUCCUUCGCAGAAAGCGAGGUGGAUAUGGUCUUUUUACCAUUGGUCGCACGAACCAGACAUCUAUACUCCACAACUUCACCCGCAGUCUCCAUUUUCUUUCUAAUCGCCGGUGAUUUCAUCGCCGAGCGCUUCAGCGUCACCCAAACAGACCCACUCGCCGUACUCCUCUCAAACAUGG
rnacentral:misc_RNA from 1 species